CUACGGGAGGCUGCAGUAGGGAAUCUUAGACAAUGGGGGAAACCCUGAUCUAGCCAUGCCGCGUGAGUGAUGAAGGCCUUAGGGUUGUAAAGCCCUUUCGCUGGGGAAGAUAAUGACGGUACCCAGUAAAGAAACCCCGGCUAACUCCGUGCCAGCAGCCGCGGUAAUACGGAGGGGGUUAGCGUUGUUCGGAAUUACUGGGCGUAAAGCGCGCGUAGGCGGGCUAUUAAGUCAGGGGUGAAAGCCCGGGGCUCAACCCCGGAACUGCCUUUGAUACUGGUAGUCUUGAGUUCGAGAGAGGUGAGUGGAAUUCCGAGUGUAGAGGUGAAAUUCGUAGAUAUUCGGAGGAACAUCAGUGGCGAAGGCGACUCACUGGCUCGAUACUGACGCUGAGGUGCGAAAGUGUGGGGAGCAAACAGGAUUAGAUACCCGUGUAGUC
rnacentral:rRNA from 1 species